rnacentral:lncRNA from 1 species
GUCAAAUUGGGAAUUUAGAUUGUUGGGUUUCUACUUUGAUUUCUGAUGGGUUAUUGUUUCGUUGUUUGUGGGUUUUACAUCUUUGAUUUAAUGAUUUCAAUUGUUAUAUGACACUAGUCACUGGAUUGUUUCAAAGGAAAGGAGGCUUAGGUUUUGGGCUCUUGGGUUUGGGGCGUCUCUAAACAAACAAACACAAAUUAAUUAGCUAAUAGCUAGCUUAAAGCAUUUGUACCUAGAGUACUGAUCUAAUGUAUGUAUAUGGAGUUUGAAUUUCUGAGUUUUGGAGAAGUCAAAAAUUAGAUGACAUUGUAUAAUUGUUAAGCAAUUAGACCGUGUUCAUUUCAUUCAUAACUUCCAAAAUGGAAUUGUGCAUAUUGCAUAUGUGGGCUGGUUGAAGAAAGCUUGUGAUUGUUCAAUUGUGAAUGGAGUAGGUCAAUCCUGACAUAGGAGUUAAACUAAAAGAAUGGUUAUAUGAUUGUUGGGGUAUUGUUUGUGGAUUUUGUUUUUGCUCAGAUCAUGAAAUCUGAUUGGUUUUUUAUCGUUGUUUAUGCUUAUUGUUUGAUAAUGGAAGGAACUCAAGGAUGAUGG